CCUACGGGCGGCAGCAGUGGGGAAUAUUGCACAAUGGGGGAAACCCUGAUGCAGCGAAGCCGCGUGAGUGAAGAAGUAAUUCGUUAUGUAAAGCUCUAUCAGCAGGGAAGAAACUGACGGUACCUGAGUACGAAGCCCCGGUUCACUACGUGCCAGCAGCCGCGGUAAUACGUAGGGGGCAAGCGUUAUCAGGAGUUACUGGGUGUAAAGGGGGCGUAGACGGCAGUGCAAGUCUGGAGUGAAAGGCGGGGGCUCAACCCCCGGACUGCUGUGGAAACUGUACGGCUGGAGUGCAGGAGAGGUAAGUGGAAUUCGUAGUGUAGCGGUGAAAUGCGUAGAUAUUAGGAGGAACACCAGUGGCGAAGGCGGCUUACUGGACUGUAACUGACGUUGAGGCACGAAAGCGUGGGGAGCGAACAGGAUUAGAUACCCUGGUAGUC
rnacentral:rRNA from 1 species